UGCGUAGGCGGAAUGAUAAGUUAGUGGUGAAAUCCCUCGGCUCAACCGAGGAACUGCCAUUAAUACUGUCAUUCUUGAGUAUAGUUGAAGUGGGCGGAAUGUAUCAUGUAGCGGUGAAAUGCUUAGAUAUGAUACAGAACACCGAUAGCGUAGGCAGCUUGCUAAACUAUAACUGACGCUCAGGCACGAAAGCGUGGGGAGCAAACAGGAUUAGAUACCCUGGUAGUCC
rnacentral:rRNA from 1 species